rnacentral:sRNA from 1 species
UGAGUCGAGGCUGAGCUUGAAUUGC